UUAAAUAAAGGGAAUGAGGUUCUCCCUUGAUUUUAUCAAAACCGCUAGUAAAGCUGAUGACUUCUGUGUAACA
rnacentral:ncRNA from 2 species